GUGGACCCACACCCUGGCGUCCAUGAGCUCCGGCCGGGCCGCGAAGAGGGCGGCGUCGCCGUGCACCACGGCCUUGAGCACCAGCGGCAGCUCCUUGGAGAAGACGUAGUAGCGGAAGCCGGCGGCGAGCUCCUGCAGCGGGUUGGGCCCGCUGACGUGGCAGUGCAGGUGCAGCGUCAUCUCCCCUCCGCCCGGCCCGCCGGUGCAGGUCAUCUCCUUCCACUCGGCGAAGACGUCGUCGCGCCGCCACCCCCACCGCCGCAGCUGCUCGCUCGUGAUGGUCUCCGACACCGCCAGCGUCAGGUUCGCCGUGAAGUCGCAGUGGCUCAGCGUGU
rnacentral:lncRNA from 1 species